rnacentral:rRNA from 1 species
UNCCANGCCGUAAACGAUNUCGACNUNGNGGUUGUUCCCUUGAGGAGUGGCUUCCGGANUAACGCGUUAAGUNGACCGCNUGGGGAGUACGGCCGCAAGGUUAAAACUCAAANGAAUUGACGGGGGCCCNGCACAAGCGGUGGAGCAUGUGGUUUAAUUCGAUGCAACGNGAAGAACCUUACCUACUCUUGACAUCCANGGAAUUUGGCNGNGAUGCCUUNGUGCCUUCGGGAACUNUGAGACNGUUGCUGCAUGGCUGUNGUCAGCUCGUGUUGUGAAAUGUUGGGUUAAGUCCCGCAACGAGCGCAACCCUUAUCCUUUGUUGCCAGCGAUUCGGUCGGGAACUCAAAGGAGACUGCCGGUGAUAAACCGGAGGANNNUGGGGAUGACGUCAAGUCAUCAUGGCCCUUACGAGUAGGGCUACACACGUGCUACAAUGGCGCAUACAAAGNGAAGCGACCUCGCGAGAGCAAGCGGACCUCAUAAAGUGCGUCGUAGUCCGGAUCGGAGUCUGCAACUCGACUCCGUGAAGUCGGAAUCGCUUGUAAUCGUGGAUCAGAAUGCCACGGUGAAUACGUUCCCGGGCCUUGUACACACCGCCCGUCACACCANGGGAGUGGGUGCUAAAAGA